rnacentral:rRNA from 1 species
UUGGAGGGCAAGUCUGGUGCCAGCAGCCGCGGUAAUUCCAGCUCCAAUAGCGUAUAUUAAAGUUGUUGCAGUUAAAAAGCUCGUAGUUGAAUUUCGGGAUCAGAGUGUCGGUCGUGCCUCGGUACGCACUGGUAUUAUUGGUUCCUACCUUCUGAAGAACCGCGAUGUCAUUAAUUUGGUGUCGUGGGGAAUCAGGACUGUUACUUUGAAAAAAUUAGAGUGUUUAAAGCAAGCUAACGCUUGAAUACAUUAGCAUGGAAUAAUGAAAUAGGACGUUCGAUCCUAUUUUGUUGGUUUCUAGGAUUGACGUAAUGAUUAAUAGGGAUAGUUGGGGGCAUUAGUAUUCAAUUGUCAGAGGUGAAAUUCUUGGAUUUAUUGAAGACUAACUACUGCGAAAGCAUUUGCCAAGGAUGUUUUCAUUAAUCAAGAACGAAAGUUAGGGGAUCGAAGACGAUCAGAUACCGUCGUAGUCUUAACCAUAAACUAUACCGACUAGGGAUCGGAUGAUGUUAACUUUUUAAUGACUCAUUCGGCGCCUUACGGGAAACCAAAGUGUUUGGGUUC